CGGCUGGGGCCUUGGAUCUACAACUCUCUGGGCAGCCGCGCUAAGUUGUAUAGCCGCUUUUUUAAUCGUCUUCAUUGCCCUCACCCUGGGAAAGUUCCGCCGGAAGAUCCUUUUCAACCGAUCGCAAGAAAUGUGGAACCGAGGUGAAAGGUGCCCACCGGACGACUCGGCUAAAAGAGACUGCAAUCACGUGCGCCACGACCUAGUAGAAGGAAAUACCGAUUUGGGUACCGAGCUUGCCGCCUUCGAUCCUCCGGCCAUGAUCACCUUCAAGGACCCCAUCGUCAUGAAGCCCAACCUUAGCGGGAGCAACGGGGCCAUCCUGGUGUCUGCUCAUCCAAAGAUGUUCAUCCCGUCGCCGUCCUAACUGGAGGCCCCACGUGUGUGUACCGCCGCAGUUACCCGAAUUGGCAUUUCAGCCAAACUGGGCAACCAGCCCCGAUCAUCGCCUUCUUGGCAGACACACUUUGGCGCCAUGACGAACGACAGCUCAACCCAGGUAUGUACGACAGCUCAAGAUAUGUCUGUACAACUGCUCAGCUGUGUCUACGACAGAGCUAUGACUGUACGACGACUGUUCCAUGACUGUGCCACGGAGAAAACCUUGGUGGUGCCCCGCCUCAAGCUAUAUUUAUAUGAGGACUCAAGCCGUGCCACGGCUUAAGCCAUGACUUUAAGACGGCCCAAACCACGAAAAUUUCACGAUUCAAGUCAUCACUGUGCCAUGGUUCAAGACAUAGCUGCACGACGGCUCAAAACACGACUGUUCCACUACUCAAGCCAUGACCUCUCCAUGGAUUCAGCCCUGUCUGUGCAACUGCUCGUGCCAUGACUGUUCGACGGCUCUAGCCAUGACUAUGGCACGUCUCAAGCAAUGACUGUGCCAUGGAUGAAACCAAGACUGUUCUACGACUGAAGCCCUGUCUGUAGAACGGCUAAAGCCGUGACUGUGCCAGAGUCCGAGUCGUGUCCGUAUGACGGCCUGUCGGAGAAGCCGUCGACUGCUCAAGAAUGGUGUCGGAUUGUGUUAUGUCUCAGUGGUGAGGUCUGGACGCCGUAUAAACCUCGAUGUGACUCGA
rnacentral:lncRNA from 1 species